CGACUCUGGGAAGUUUCAUAGCGAUCUCUAAGUGUGUGCCAGGGAAUCUCUGAGGAAUGAUGAUCAUAAGAGCAAAGUGAGAAGAGGCCAUCAGGAGAUGUUCUUUAUUUGAGAUCAGUUUGCAAGAUAGGUAAAGAUAAAAGAAUCAAAGAAGUUAACUCACUGCGGCACAACACAUUCAUUCUGUCCGUAAUGGCAAAGAAUCAAAGAAGUUAACUCACUGCGGCACAACACAUUCAUUCUGUCCGUAAUGGCUUGUCGGAGAUCGAUCUACGUAGCUGGGUAAGAAUGAAAGCUACAGGACAAAUUCUAACAUAGCGAUUAUAAAACGAUGCUCCAGGUGAGGAUCGAACUCACAACCUCGGCAUUACUCGCACACAUACUGCCAUAUAAGUACCGCGCGCUAACCGAUUGCGCCACUGGAGCACUUGUGUCUUGCUUCCGGUCACUCAUUACAGGGCCUAUGCAGGAAUAUCUAACGUCUUUGCCAAAGUGCCUCCUUCCGUCUCCGGAGUCCCGUAACUGCAUCUUGCGCACAAAGGCGGACUGGGUUCAGCAGCGAACCCCACCAGAGCACACCGAUCCCGAUGGCGCGGAAGGUGCUCUGCUAGCGGCAACGAAGAUGGAUAUUUAGUGCAAACACUGGGAGACCGACUGCCUCGAACAUUCCAAAGAGGACCUUCAGUGGGCAGAUCAACACCCUUUUGUGUGAAAUGUGGGAUAGUUAAACCAUAUCGCAUUCUUAUCCUCGUCUGCACUUUCAGUGGUUCUGCCCUUCUGUGGUGGGCCUUCAGCCUCUCCACCUGGGUGAGGAUAGAAAUCCCAAGUGGCUCCCAAGUCCUUUUCAGCGCUCUUUUUGCAAUAUGCAGUGGUGAGAUCAAGUGUUGGAUUCCACUAUCAAAAUCAAACGACUACAUCUUUGGUCGAAUUUUCAUGAUCAGCGCCCUUCUUCUCUCCUUCUUCCUGAGCUUUAUACUCCUGGUCUUACCUCAUUCCCUUCCUGAUACCCGGAAACAGUACUUUGUCUUCACAAUCGUCUUCUUCGUCAUAGGUAUCUGUGUGUUCCUUGCAUUACUGCUGCACUCUCUGCAUGUUUUGAAAGUAACCAACUUAUGCAAGGAUGCGAAAAUCACCUUUCUCUACCCUACUUUCAUCCUUUCAUUCAGCGCCAUACUAUUUUUCUUAUCUGGAAUCCUCUGCUUAUUCAGCUCCCAUCAUUGUUGGCUUCAGUGCGUCUUACAGCAACCAAUCCAAGUGAAACCUAUGCAAAUGUCAGUGGUCAGUGGGAACUCAGCAAUGGUCACAGAAAGGACACCGGGUAGAGAUGGCUAGCCUAACCUCAGUGGUGGUGAGAAAGCUGAUUUUAGAAGAAACAUGUCUCACCUGUAAUUCAAGAUUUCACAGCUAUACACACACUCAUUUAAUUACUGCAUAAGACUGGAAAGAGUUGGCUGGUUACUAAUCAUUGUUCAAGAUAUGGCUUAGGAUUCCGGGGACUUAGAUAUUCAUAAGAGAGAAAACACAGUUGGGGUGUGGGGAAGUUGAGUGUUUGGCUCUUGGGGACUUGAAAUGAAAAAAACUUCUCUUCACCUUGAAGAUUCUUCUCUUGGCACCCAUUUCCCAACCCUCUUGCUGGUAUGCCUGGUCUCCUGGCAGUGGUUUUUUUUAGCAGUAACAAAACUCUCUCUCCACUAUAAAGCCUGAGUUUGAUAAAAACAAAUUUUUUUUCUGCUCUCUGGGAAUUUCAUGAGUGGAAUCUUUUCACUACUGUGUUAUUCGGGACUCUUUUUUUUUUUUUUUUUUUGCAUGUAACAAACCUUAUCCAAACUACCUUCAACAAAAAUUGAAUUUAUUGGAUGCAGGGGUUACCUCAUAGACUCAAAAAAGUUCUGGUAGAAUCAGGGCUACAUGAGAGAGUUGGGGAGCUGGAAUCUUGAGAUCAUUUCCUCAGGAUACUAUUUUUUUAAACUAUCCACUGAAGGUUAAUGGAAUUUCUCAAUCCUUAAAAUGGAAGCACUAUCCUAAAUUCCUCUUGCUCAUCACUUUCAAUGAAUCACCAAAGCUUGUCCUUUCCACCUCAACAAGACUUCCGUUCCCCUCCCUGAGCCCUCCUCACUGGUCAUCGUGACCAGGUCUUUGUCAUCCCUGCCCAGACUGUGUCGUCUCUGAAUGUGGCUUGUCCCCCACUGUGGCCUACCUCUGCGAAGCUGCCCAGCUCGAGCUUCCUAAAAUACAGAGAUGAGAAUGUGCUCCUUAAAAGCCUAUUUUGCCUUCUUCUGGCCUUCAGGAUAAAUUCCUUAUCUUGAUAAAUAAAGUUAUUUACAAGUUGGCAUC
rnacentral:lncRNA from 9 species